UUGUAUGGGUCAUAUACUUGUAUUGAUUUCCAGUACUAGUUUCUCUUUCCAUUCAACUUUGAGAGCUUUAAACACCUAAAAAACCUUUAACUCUAUUGCCAAUGAGAAUUUAAACACACACACAUUUGUGAACAGAUAGUAAACUCUUAUGAUAGAAUGCUGGACAUGAUGCUUAAUCUUUGUUUGGUUACUUCAAUUGUCACUCAAAAACUUGGCAUUGGUGGGUUCAGUAUGGGUGCUGCAACUGCAUUGUACCCUGCCUCUUGCUUCACACAUGGAAAAUACGAAAAUGGCAGUCUAUAGACUCUAAUACCCCAUAAACUUCAGUGCAGUCAUUGGCCUCAGUGGCUGGCUUCCAUGCUCAAGGUCUGUUCUAUCUUAAAAUGUCCAAUGUUUGAUCUAUGAAAAUAUCACAUCUAUCGAAUUCUCGGCAUGUGAAUAAAAAAUGCAAGAAAAUAUGCAUGUUCCACUCACCCAGGAGCUUGAACACUAAGGUGGAAAGCUCACAUGAUGCUGCAAGGUGAGCUGCCUCCUUGCCAGUUCCAUUGUGUCAUGGAAGAGGUACCUUCUCUGUCACAGAAGAACAUGAUUAGAUAACUUCGAUAUGCAGUUAUCUUGCAAUAAAUGUGGAGAAGAAUUGAUAAGCCAAAAGAUGUGAACGUUACUGUUUGAUUCGUUUUGCCAUACCAACAGGAGCUCAGAAUCCUGAUUUGGAUGCACACAAUUUACCAUGAGUUUGUUUCAGGUGAUGGAGUGGUUCCGUAUAAACACGGGAAAAUUCUGGAGAGGUUCUAAGAGUGUUUGGGUUCAGAAAUCUCACGUUCAAGACCUUUUACAAUGGGUAUGUCUCUGAUGCUGUUGUUGUUGUUCCAUCGAUUCAUAUUUCUGACUUCUGAAAACUAGAUUCCUGAAAAGAAAAGAAAAAUAAUAGAUUUCUUCAAUUUUCCUGCCUUACACAACGAAGCAACUGGAAUUUUUCAGACUCGAACACUGCACAAUACCAGAAGAAAUGGAUACUGUCUGCAAGUGGCUCACAGCAAGGCUGCAGCUUGAUGGGUCUCACAGAAAGUAUAUCCAAUUAGUGCAUUAAAUAUGUAGAAUUUGUAUGUAUAUAAAUGUAUUCGGGAGUAUGUCAUUCUGAUACUAUUGCUUGAGUGGUCUAAUAGCUUGAUAGAUAUGCUGCAUCCUACACUGUCUUCCCAGUUCUUGUCCAUAAAUCCAGCCAGAAUUCAUUUGCUCUUCACUAUGGUUUUCAUAUACUUGCAUUCCAUGGUCAUAGACAAAAGUUACAACAUUAUAAUGCAAAACUGGAUUAGGCACUAGAGCAUCCAGGAUGUUUUUUCCUUGGAAAAUUUCUCGUAAAAAGUAAUGUUCAGGAUGAUGAGAAUGGAACAACACAUAACAUGAAUUAACCAAGGAUAGUAAAUAAGCAAUCAUAUAAUUGGCAAAUAUUUGAAGUUAUAGUCCACAGCUAGAAAUUAAAGAAUAUAAGUUCAGAAGGUGC
rnacentral:lncRNA from 1 species